rnacentral:rRNA from 1 species
GACGAACCGUGCGAACGUUAUUCGGAAUUACUGGGCUUAAAGCGCGUGUAGGCGGGCCGGCACGUCCGACGCUGAAAGCCCCCGGCUCAACCGGGGAAGUGGCGCGGAUACGACCGGCCUCGAGGGGGGUAGGGGGACCUGGAACUUCCGGUGGAGCGGUGAAAUGCGCAGAUAUCAGGAGGAACACCGGUGGCGAAGGCGGAUCUCUGGGCCAUUACUGACGCUGAGGAGCGAAAGCGUGGGGAGCGAACAGG